GACGAACGCUGGCGGCGUGCUUAACACAUGCAAGUCGAACGAAGAGCGAUGGAAGCUUGCUUCUAUCAAUCUUAGUGGCGAACGGGUGAGUAACGCGUAAUCAACCUGCCCUUCAGAGGGGGACAACAGUUGGAAACGACUGCUAAUACCGCAUACGAUCUAAUCUCGGCAUCGAGGAUAGAUGAAAGGUGGCCUCUACAUGUAAGCUAUCACUGAAGGAGGGGAUUGCGUCUGAUUAGCUAGUUGGAGGGGUAACGGCCCACCAAGGCGAUGAUCAGUAGCCGGUCUGAGAGGAUGAACGGCCACAUUGGGACUGAGACACGGCCCAGACUCCUACGGGAGGCAGCAGUGGGGAAUCUUCCGCAAUGGACGAAAGUCUGACGGAGCAAGGCCGCGUGAGUGAUGACGGCCUUCGGGUUGUAAAGCUCGGUUAAUCGGGACGAAAGGCCUUCUUGCGAAUAGGGAGAAGGAUUGACGGUACCGGAAUAGAAAGCCACGGCUAACUACGUG
rnacentral:rRNA from 1 species